UACGUAGGGGGCAAGCGUUAUCCGGAUUUACUGGGUGUAAAGGGAGCGUAGACGGCUUGGCAAGCCAGAUGUGAAAGGCCAGGGCUCAACCCUGGGACUGCAUUUGGAACUGUCAUGCUAGAGUGUCGGAGAGGCAGGCGGAAUUCCUAGUGUAGCGGUGAAAUGCGUAGAUAUUAGGAGGAACACCAGUGGCGAAGGCGGCCUGCUGGACGAUGACUGACGUUGAGGCUCGAAAGCGUGGGGAGCAA
rnacentral:rRNA from 1 species